rnacentral:rRNA from 1 species
GCGGCCCCNCUGGACGAAGACUGACGCUCAGGUGCGAAAGCGUGGGGAGCAAACAGGAUUAGAUACNNUGNUAGUCCACGCNGUAAACGAUGUCGACUUGGAGGUUGUUCCCUUGAGGAGUGGCUUCCGGAGCUAACGNGUUAAGUCGACCGCCUGGGGAGUACGGCCGCAAGGUUAAAACUCAAAUGAAUUGACGGGGGCCCGCACAAGCGGUGGAGCAUGUGGUUUAAUUCGAUGCAACGCGAAGAACCUUACCUACUCUUGACAUCCAGAGAACUUAGCAGAGAUGCUUUGGUGCCUUCGGGAACUCUGAGACAGGUGCUGCAUGGCUGUCGUCAGCUCGUGUUGUGAAAUGUUGGGUUAAGUCCCGCAACGAGCGCAACCCUUAUCCUUUGUUGCCAGCGAUUCGGUCGGGAACUCAAAGGAGACUGCCGGUGAUAAACCGGAGGAAGGUGGGGAUGACGUCAAGUCAUCAUGGCCCUUACGAGUAGGGCUACACACGUGCUACAAUGGCGCAUACAAAGAGAAGCGACCUCGCGAGAGCAAGCGGACCUCAUAAAGUGCGUCGUAGUCCGGAUCGGAGUCUGCAACUCGACUCCGUGAAGUCGGAAUCGCUAGUAAUCGUGGAUCAGAAUGCCACGGUGAAUACGUUCCCGGGCCUUGUACACACCGCCCGUCACACCAUGGGAGUGGGUUGCAAAAGAAGUAGGUAGCUUAACCUUCGGGAGGGCGCUA